AACGAACGCUGGCGGCAGGCUUAACACAUGCAAGUCGAGCGGGCCCUCCGGGGUCAGCGGCAGACGGGUGAGUAACACGUCGGAACGUACCUUUUUGUUUGGAACAACUCCGGGACACUGGAGCUAAUACCGGAUAAGCCCUUAUGGGGAAAGAUUUAUCGCCAAAAGAUCGGCCCGCGUCGGAUUAGCUAGUUGGGGGGGUAACGGCCCACCAAGGCGUCGAUCAGUAGCUGGUCUGAGAGGCUGAUCCGCCACACUGGGACUGAGACACGGCCCAGACUCCUACGGGAGGCAGCAGUGGGGAAUAUUGGACAAUGGGCGCAAGCCUGAUCCAGCCAUGCCGCGUGAGUGAUGAAGGCCGUAGAGUUGUAAAGCUCUUUUGUCCGGGAAGAUAAUGACUGUACCGGAAGAAUAAGCCCCGGCUAACUUCGUG
rnacentral:rRNA from 1 species